GACAGAGGCCUCGAGCGUUAGGCGGAAUCACUGGGCUUAAAGCGUGUGUAGGCGGGCCCGUAAGUGUCUUGUGAAAUCCCACGGCUCAACCGUGGAACUGCUGGGCAUACUGCGGGUCUUGGGCCAACUAGGGGCAGCCGGAACAAGCGGUGGAGCGGUGAAAUGCGUAGAUAUCACUUGGAACGCCAAUGGUGAAGACAGCUCGCUGGGGGUGUCCUGACGCUGAGGCGCGAAAGCCAGGGGAGCGAACAGG
rnacentral:rRNA from 1 species